GCUAGCUUGUUUUUUUUUUUUUUUUUUUUUUUUUUUUUUUUUUAAAGAAACACUUUUCUUUGCUUAAAAAUUCAUAUUAUAACCGAUGCUCCUAACUUGUAGUCGAAAUCAACCUUAUCCUCAUACCUUUAAACCAGCUUAGUAGUAGUAUACAUCUAUGUACAUAUACGUAAACAGAAAGGUUCAGUCAGAAGAAUAAACACAUAAAUUGUCCAAAAAAAUGAAUAGGAAAGAAGAUACAGAAACUGUAAUAGCAGUUGUUGUAGUAUACCCAAAAUCAUUAUGUAUUACUUUUGCUCCUUUUAGAAAUUUUAAUUUUUACUAGCGCUUUUAGAUUUUAGAAUAUUUUAAAGUUGUUUUUCAACAGCUUUUUCUCAAACCUUGCUCACAUGCUAUGAGGAUAUACUUAUUUAAUUUACUUUAUUUUAUAUGUUCUAUAUUUUCUAUCUUUUUUUUGGCUCUGUGUUUUUUUAAAGUAUUUUGAUUUUGUAAAUAAAAAUAAAAAUAAUUUCAAAAUUCAAAACGCUUCAUAUUAUUAACAGUAUUGGAACUUUUUUAAGACCUUAUAAAAAGUUCAUUAAUCCGAAAGAAUUGUUUUAAGGUAGUGAAGAGAUAAUUAAGCUAUUCAAUAUAAAAUUUCUAUUACCUAUAGUGUACUCGUUUUUAUCUGUUUGAAAUUCGAAAUCCCCUUCAUAGAUAUAAUGUUUAUCAAUUGUUUAACAGGCAAUAUACAUUUAUCAGACCAUGAAUGCAGAGAUUAUGAACAACAGUAAUAGUGUUUUUAUGUUACAGUCUAAACAACGAUAACAAUUCCAUGGUGCGAAAACUUUGGAAUACUUUAGUUAUUAUUUGAUACUAAAAUACACAAUUAAAUAAACUAAGGAGUUGUCAGCAUGAUAAACUAGUUUACAAAAAAUGUAAUUUUUAUACUUGCUUGCGUAAAAUCAGGUUAAAUAAAUACUCAUUCCAGCUAGAGAAAUACAAUAAAUACCACUACAAUA